ACCACGGUAGGAUUCGUGACUGGGGUGAAGUCGUAACAAGGUAGCCGUAUCGGAAGGUGCGGCUGGAUCACCUCCUUU
rnacentral:rRNA from 1 species